GGGGGGGGGGGGGGGGGGGGGGGGGGGGGGGGGGGGGGGGGGGGGGGGGGGGGGGGGGGGGGGGGGGGGGGGGGGGGGGGGGGGGGGGGGGGGGCCGGGACGGGCGGCCGCGCUCCCCGCCGCCCGGGACACCGCUCCCGGCCUCGCCCCACCCGGCUGCUCGCCGGUGGUGCCCCCGGUGGGCUGGCAAGGCGGCCUGGCCUCCGUUCCGCCUCCUCGGCGCUCCCGGGGCUUUUGCGGGGUGCAGCGCAAGUUCUGCGCUAUGAACGUGGCUGCAGUGUACCGGCUGACCAGGCACCUACAGCCUCGAACACUUCCUCUGCCAGUUCUGGUGCCGUUUGUCUUUUCGUUACUUUUUUUGUUAUUCUUUUCUUACAAAAAUCUGACUUUACUGCUUUCUGUCAAAAUAGAACAGGAAGCCUGAUGAAAAAGGUAUCAGAGCAAGUGGACAGUCCAAAAAAAUUGAUUUUUCAGAGGGGAUAAGGCUUUGGUGAAAUAUUAAAUCAAUAUUUUGCUCUGUACUCACUGUAAAGGGACCUAAGAAUAUUCCUAUACUUAUACUUGAUUUUGUGAAAGAUUUAUCAGCGGAUGCUUCAAGCUGAAGGUCUGCAGGAAAGGUAGUGAAAAAAUGGCUAAAAUGAAAAGCAUUGAACAAUUAGACUGCAUUAUGUUCAUCCAGGAGUUCUAAGAGAAGUCAAGACUUAAAUAGCUGAGCUGCUUACUGUUUUUUGUGUCACAUUGCAUUUAAAAGGGCUUUGAUAACAGAGAAUGGGAAGAUUAAUCAAAAAAACAGCCUGAAAAGUUCUGUAGAGCUGCUGAGCUAUGAGCCUGUUCUCUGUACCAGCCAAGUUAGUGAAAACUUUAGAAGUGAAGUAGUGGGUGCAGGGAGAAAAUGGGGUACCAUGAGAGCUGGCAGAGCCUUUCUCAUGAGAACUCCUGGCCUCACACAUUAUUUGGAGUCCUGUGAGGAGUCAGUAAAGCAUGUGGACUAGAGACAUUCAGCUCACAUUUCCUACUUGGGUUUCUAAAAAGUAUUCAACUUUUGAAUCAACAUAGAUUCAAAAUCUAUGAGCAAAAUCUUCUAAAGAAACUGUAGAAUAAGAUAAGUUUUCAUGUCAAUAGAUGACACUGCAUUAAAGACAGGUCUCUGGAAGAUGGAGCAAAAGUAUUUCUCAGUAGAAUGAGUCAAUAUGCAAAGUUCCACAAGGAUCUGAAUUGGAGCCUGUGGACUGAGAGUAAAGGUAGUAAAAUGUCACAUUACAAAGUGAGUGGGUGGUACAAUUUGAUGUACAUACAUAUAAAGUGUUUUAAAUGGGAGAUAAAGAAUCCAUUUCAAUCAUACAGAAAAAGCCUAGAAGCUGAUUUAUCACUUGGAAACAAGAUCUUGGCAUAAUAAUAGUUCUGUGAAAACCUCAGUUCAAGGCUUGGCAAAUGAGCAAAGCGAGUGUUAGGAGAUAAGGAAUAAGAGCAAGAGAAUAAAAGCAGAGAGUGUCACUGUGGCACGGGAUAAAUCCAUGGUGUGCCAGUGCUUUGAAUGUUGUGUACAGUUCUGAUCUUUAGAAGGACAUAGAGCACCUUAAGAGGUUCAGACAAGUAGAUGUUAGGAAGUGUAGGACAGCUUCUAGGUCAGUAGCAGGUAAAUUAACUAGGGCUCUUCAGCCUCACAAACACAAGUUAGGGGAGGUUUCUUCAGUAUAAGAAUGAUGAACAACAAGCAAAACUUGGGAAAAUGUGGAUUAAAACCAGACUUGACAAGGUUGCUCUUUUUUGUUUGUUUGUUUUUGUUUGGUUGGUUUUUUUGAGAUGAAAAGUCCAGAAAAUGAACACUAAAGCUAGUGAGGACUAUUAAGUACACAUAUGUCUGUGCAAGUUCUGAUUUUGAGAUUUCUGGGGCCUUAGGGAAUAUUGUGGUAAGGCAGCACUACUCACUGACCACUGACUUUGUCCUUAGUACUUUCUUCAAGUGGUUGCUACCAGGUAGUGUCAGAAGACUGUGGCUGAUAACACAGAGGGGUAAAAGCUGUGCUUGAUUUAAUCAAACAUGGCCAUUUAUAUGUGGAUUUGUAGGGAUUGAGCUGAACUUUCGCUCUUUCCUUUGCUUCCACAUUGUAAUGGUGUUUGAAAUUUGUUUAAAUUACCAGAAGAUGUGACCUCAUAUGUCCGUGCACCUUAUCUGCUCAGAUCUUUUGCUGAUAAGGUUGUUCUUUGGAGCUGCAUCCGGUAGCCUUUCCAGGCAGGGGUAGGCUGGUGACCCAGCGAGGUGCUGAAGUGAAACCAACACCACCCAUUCUUCUCAUUUGGAAACUCCGGAUGGCCACGAGGGACCUGGAUAUUGUAUCAACAGGAUGUCAGGGAAAACAAAAGAAGGCUGUAACUAGCAUGUGGACAAUGUAUCUUUAUUAUUUCCAAUUAAGGAGCUCUUGUUCUGUGGUUUGGUGUCCUGUCCCCUGCCACCCUCCUGGCAUCUUUAGUCUGUACAACAAACAGAUUUUCAGCUGUUCUUCACUGAUUUGAUUUGAGCUCUGUUUUUGUACAAAUGUUUUGUAACUUGGUCUGUUGGCUACGGACAACCAGCUGCAACAUGAAAAGAGUGAUUUUCAUUCUGAUUGCGUUGCAUCUUCCACUUGGUAAGGAUUGAGUGCUUUUAAAAUAGCCCAUCUUGAAUCUUCUCAUGCUUGGGAAGAAGGGAAGAAAAACCAACUCAUUAUAUAGUUUUUAUCAGGUUUUGUUUGCAAAAUUAAAUAUUUCCCCUGAAUAGGUAAUGGUAUUGCAAAGGCCAUGAAAUACAGUAGCAGUGUUAGUCUUAAAGCAUAUAAUCUGAAAAGUACAUGGAAUUCACAUAUUGCAAGGGUAUUUGGGCUUUUAAAUAAAACAUUAUUUUGACAUGGUUUGAAGUAUAUUGGGUGCUUCAGCAUGCGAGUGAUGAAAUUCCUGCUAUGAAGCAUUUGAAUUCUAAUUGUAGGAAAAAUAACAGUUGCCAGUAGCACAUGUUAGAGAAAGACAAGCUCUGUCACAGCAUUUAGGCAUGUGGUAUGGCAGUUGAAUUAAAAUAGUAACGUAACCUAAUGAUGAUGUGUCACUAACCUCGAGGACACCAGGGAAGAUAAAACAAAGUAAUUUGCUGUAGUUACAUAAGAACUGAGUACAAAGCCAAGAAUGGGGUUUGGGCACAGAUAAGGAUUUCACUCCAAGACUUUCAAAGAAUUCAGCUCUUCAAAGCUUUAACUAUCCACGGGCCUCUCAGAUCCUCCCAUCCUCUUCAUUCUCUUCCCUCCACCCUC
rnacentral:lncRNA from 12 species